rnacentral:rRNA from 1 species
CACGUAGGGGGGCGAGCGUUGUCCGGAUUUAUUGGGCGUAAAGAGCUCGUAGGUGGCUCGGUAAGUCGGGUGUGAAAUUUCGAGGCUCAACCUCGAGACGCCACCUGAUACUGCUGUGGCUAGAGUCCGGUAGGGGAGCGUGGAAUUCCUGGUGUAGCGGUGAAAUGCGCAGAUAUCAGGAGGAACACCAGCGGCGAAGGCGGCGCUCUGGGCCGGUACUGACACUGAGGAGCGAAAGCGUGGGGAUCAAACAGG